GGUGCUUGCACUGAAUGGAAACCGGCGAACGGGUGCGUAACACGUAUGCAACCUACCUAUAACUGGGGAAUAGCCCGAAGAAAUUCGGAUUAAUACCCUAUAAUAUUUAGUCAUCGCAUGAUGAUUAUCUUAAAACUCCGGUGGUUAUAGAUGGGCAUGCGGCCUAUUAGUUUGUUGGUGAGGUAAUGGCUCACCAAGACUACGAUAGGUAGGGGGUCUGAGAGGAUGAUCCCCCACACUGGUACUGAGACACGGACCAGACUCCUACGGGAGGCAGCAGUAGGGAAUAUUGGACAAUGGACGAAAGUCUGAUCCAGCCAUGCCGCGUGCAGGAUGACGGCCCUAUGGGUUGUAAACUGCUUUUAUAUAGGAAGAAACCUUUUUACGUGUAGAAAGCUGACGGUACUAUAUGAAUAAGGACCGGCUAACUCCGUGCCAGCAGCCGCGGUAAUACGGAGGGUCCAAGCGUUGUCCGGAUUCAUUGGGUUUAAAGGGUCCGUAGGCGGGUCUUUAAGUCAGUGGUGAAAGCCGACAGCUCAACUGUCGAACUGCCAUUGAUACUGGAGACCUUGAGUAC
rnacentral:rRNA from 1 species